GUAAACGGCGGCCGUAACUAUAACGGUCCUAAGGUAGCGAAAUUCCUUGUCGGGUAAGUUCCGACCUGCACGAAUGGCGUAAUGAUGGCCAGGCUGUCUCCACCCGAGACUCAGUGAAAUUGAACUCGCUGUGAAGAUGCAGUGUACCCGCGGCAAGACGGAAAGACCCCGUGAACCUUUACUAUAGCUUGACACUGAACAUUGAGCCUUGAUGUGUAGGAUAGGUGGGAGGCUUUGAAGUGUGGACGCCAGUCUGCAUGGAGCCGACCUUGAAAUACCACCCUUUAAUGUUUGAUGUUCUAACGUGGACCCGUAAUCCGGGUUGCGGACAGUGUCUGGUGGGUAGUUUGACUGGGGCGGUCUCCUCCUAAAGAGUAACGGAGGAGCACGAAGGUUGGCUAAUCCUGGUCGGACAUCAGGAGGUUAGUGCAAUGGCAUAAGCCAGCUUGACUGCGAGCGUGACGGCGCGAGCAGGUGCGAAAGCAGGUCAUAGUGAUCCGGUGGUUCUGAAUGGAAGGGCCAUCGCUCAACGGAUAAAAGGUACUCCGGGGAUAACAGGCUGAUACCGCCCAAGAGUUCAUAUCGACGGCGGUGUUUGGCACCUCGAUGUCGGCUCAUCACAUCCUGGGGCUGAAGUAGGUCCCAAGGGUAUGGCUGUUCGCCAUUUAAAGUGGUACGCGAGCUGGGUUUAGAACGUCGUGAGACAGUUCGGUCCCUAUCUGCCGUGGGCGCUGGAGAACUGAGGGGGGCUGCUCCUAGUACGAGAGGACCGGAGUGGACGCAUCACUGGUGUUCGGGUUGUCAUGCCAAUGGCACUGCCCGGUAGCUAAAUGCGGAAGAGAUAAGUGCUGAAAGCAUCUAAGCACGAAACUUGCCCCGAGAUGAGUUCUCCCUGAGACUUAGAGUCUCCUGAAGGAACGUUGAAGACGACGACGUUGAUAGGCCGGGUGUGUAAGCGCAGCGAUGCGUUGAGCUAACCGGUACUAAUGAACCGUGAGGCUUAACCUUAC
rnacentral:rRNA from 1 species